GGCUUGGUAGCUUAGUUGGUAAAGCGCUCGUCUAGCAUACAAGAGUCCUGGGUUCAAAUCCCAGCCGAGCAC
rfam:Aedes aegypti strain Liverpool supercont1.862 genomic scaffold, whole genome shotgun sequence.